rnacentral:rRNA from 1 species
UAUACGACCGUACCGCAAACCGACACUGGUGCGCGAGAUGAGUAUUCUAAGGCGCUUGAGAGAACUCAGGAGAAGGAACUCGGCAAAUUGACACCGUAACUUCGGAAGAAGGUGUGCCCUAUUAGUGUGUAGUGAACAACGAAGCAUGAAUGGGUUGCAAAAAAUCGGUGGCUGCGACUGUUUAUUAAAAACACAGCACUCUGUAAACACGAAAGUGGACGUAUAGGGUGUGACGCCUGCCCGGUGCUGGAAGAUUAAAUGAUGGGGUGCAAGCUCUUGAUUGAAGCCCCAGUAAACGGCGGCCGUAACAAUAACGGUCCUAAGGUAGCGAAAUUCCUUGUCGGGUAAGUUCCGACCUGCACGAAUGGCGUAACGAUGGCCACACUGUCUCCUCCUGAGACUCAGCGAAGUUGAAAUGUUUGUGAUGAUGCAAUCUCCCCGCGGAAAGACGGAAAGACCCCAUGAACCUUUACUGUAGCUUUGUAUUGGACUUUGAACAGAUCUGUGUAGGAUAGGUGGGAGGCUUUGAGGCAGGGUCGCUAGAUCUUGUGGAGCCAACGUUGAAAUACCACCCUGGUGUGUUUGAGGUUCUAACCUAGGUCCAUUAUCUGGAUCGGGGACAGUGCAUGGUAGGCAGUUUGACUGGGGCGGUCUCCUCCCAAAGCGUAACGGAGGAGUUCGAAGGUACGCUAGUUACGGUCGGACAUCGUGACGAUAGUGCAAUGGCAUAAGCGUGCUUAACUGCGAGACUGACAAGUCGAGCAGAUGCGAAAGCAGGACAUAGUGAUCCGGUGGUUCUGUAUGGAAGGGCCAUCGCUCAACGGAUAAAAGGUACUCUGGGGAUAACAGGCUGAUACCGCCCAAGAGUUCAUAUCGACGGCGGUGUUUGGCACCUCGAUGUCGGCUCAUCUCAUCCUGGGGCUGUAGCCGGUCCCAAGGGUAUGGCUGUUCGCCAUUUAAAGAGGUACGUGAGCUGGGUUUAAAACGUCGUGAGACAGUUUGGUCCCUAUCUUCCGUGGGCGCUGCAGAUUUGAGGAAGCCUGCUCCUAGUACGAGAGGACCGGAGUGGACACACCUCUGGUGUAUCGGUUGUCACGCCAGUGGCAUUGCCGAGUAGCUAAGUGUGGAAGAGAUAACCGCUGAAAGCAUCUAAGCGGGAAACUCGUUUCAAGAUGAGAUCUGCCGGGGCCUUGAGCCCCCUAAAGAGUCGUUCAAGACCAGGACGUUGAUAGGUCAGGUGUGGAAGC